rnacentral:rRNA from 1 species
AACUUUCAACAACGGAUCUCUUGGUUCUGGCAUCGAUGAAGAACGCAGCAAAAUGCGAUAAGUAAUGUGAAU